UCACUGCCUCGACAAGCGACAACCCACCGACACACUCAGCAAGCUGCACGUAACCCCACCUUAAAAUCAAAGCCAAAUGUUCCUCCACCUACUUCACGGACCCUUCGCAACAGUGGUUCGACCGAUUUUGUAGCUAUAUCUAAUCAUGCGAGAAUAGAGAUCAGAACCACAGCCAUGGUUUAAUAUUCGUCCACAUAUCAUCUUUCAGAGUGGUAACGGAUUAAAAUGUUCAUCACUUCUCUUGACCACACUCGAUACCUAACAUACAUGCUCACCUCCAAGUGAGCACGGCAGCCCCAGAACCGUGACCCAGAUUUCCACCAAAAUCUAAGGUCCGGUCACUAAUUCAACGAUCCUUCGCAACAGUAGUUCAACGGAUCUUGUAGCAAUAUCAAACCACGCGGAAAUAGAGAUCAGAACCACAGCCAUGGUUUAAUAUUCGUCCACAUGUCAUCCUUCAGAGUGGUAACGGAUUAAAAUGUUCAUCACUUCUCUUGACCAAACAGGAUAACCUCACAGCAUUACACAAAGCGGAGUCACCCAAAC
rnacentral:lncRNA from 1 species